rnacentral:rRNA from 1 species
AAAUUGAAGAGUUUGAUCAUGGCUCAGAUUGAACGCUGGCGGCAGGCCUAACACAUGCAAGUCGAACGGUAACAGGAAGCAGCUUGCUGCUUCGCUGACGAGUGGCGGACGGGUGAGUAAUGUCUGGGAAACUGCCUGAUGGAGGGGGAUAACUACUGGAAACGGUGGCUAAUACCGCAUAACGUCGCAAGACCAAAGAGGGGGACCUUCGGGCCUCUUGCCAUCAGAUGUGCCCAGAUGGGAUUAGCUUGUUGGUGAGGUAACGGCUCACCAAGGCGACGAUCCCUAGCUGGUCUGAGAGGAUGACCAGCCACACUGGAACUGAGACACGGUCCAGACUCCUACGGGAGGCAGCAGUGGGGAAUAUUGCACAAUGGGCGCAAGCCUGAUGCAGCCAUGCCGCGUGUAUGAAGAAGGCCUUCGGGUUGUAAAGUACUUUCAGCGGGGAGGAAGGUGUUGUGGCUAAUAACCGCAGCAAUUGACGUUACCCGCAGAAGAAGCACCGGCUAACUCCGUGCCAGCAGCCGCGGUAAUACGGAGGGUGCAAGCGUUAAUCGGAAUUACUGGGCGUAAAGCGCACGCAGGCGGUCUGUCAAGUCGGAUGUGAAAUCCCCGGGCUCAACCUGGGAACUGCAUUCG